CUUCAACGGAGAGUUUGAUCCUGGCUCAGGACGAACGCUGGCGGCGUGCUUAACACAUGCAAGUCGAGCGGUAAGGCCCUUCGGGGUAC
rnacentral:rRNA from 1 species